AACGAACGCUGGCGGCAUGCCUAACACAUGCAAGUCGAACGAGACCUUCGGGUCUAGUGGCGCACGGGUGCGUAACGCGUGGGAACCUGCCCUUAGGUUUGGAAUAACUCCCCGAAAGGGGUGCUAAUACCGGAUAAUGUCUUCGGACCAAAGAUUUAUCGCCUUUGGAUGGGCCCGCGUUGGAUUAGCUAGUUGGUAGGGUAAAAGCCUACCAAGGCGACGAUCCAUAGCUGGUCUGAGAGGAUGAUCAGCCACACUGGGACUGAGACACGGCCCAGACUACUACGGGAGGCAGCAGUGGGGAAUAUUGGACAAUGGGCGAAAGCCUGAUCCAGCAAUGCCGCGUGAGUGAUGAAGGCCGUAGGGUUGUAAAGCUCUUUUACCCGGGAUGAUAAUGACAGUACCGGGAGAAUAAGCUCCGGCUAACUCCGUG
rnacentral:rRNA from 1 species